rnacentral:rRNA from 1 species
AGCGAACGCUGGCGGCAGGCCUAACACAUGCAAGUCGAACGAACUCUUCGGAGUUAGUGGCGGACGGGUGAGUAACACGUGGGAACGUGCCUUUUGGUUCGGAAUAACUCAGGGAAACUUGUGCUAAUACCGAAUGUGCCCUUCGGGGGAAAGAUUUAUCGCCAUUAGAGCGGCCCGCGUCUGAUUAGCUAGUUGGUGAGGUGACGGCUCACCAAGGCGACGAUCAGUAGCUGGUCUGAGAGGAUGACCAGCCACACUGGGACUGAGACACGGCCCAGACUCCUACGGGAAGCAGCAGUGGGGAAUCUUGCGCAAUGGGCGAAAGCCUGACGCAGCCAUGCCGCGUGAAUGAUGAAGGUCUUAGGAUUGUAAAAUUCUUUCACCGGGGACGAUAAUGACGGUACCCGGAGAAGAAGCCCCGGCUAACUUCGUG